rnacentral:rRNA from 1 species
UACGUAGGGCGCAAGCGUUGUCCGGAAUUAUUGGGCGUAAAGAGCUCGUAGGCGGUCUGUCGCGUCCGUUGUGAAAACUCGAGGCUCAACCUCGGGCUUGCAGUGGAUACGGGCAGACUAGAGUGCGGUAGGGGAGACUGGAAUUCCUGGUGUAGCGGUGGAAUGCGCAGAUAUCAGGAGGAACACCCGUAGCGAAGGCGGCACUCUGGGCCGGAACUGACGCUGAGGAGCGAAAGCGUGGGGAGCAAACAGG